UUUACAUAGGCUAGAUCUGGAUGUUAUACUGUGUGUACCUACGUUAUUCGAAUGGGAUCCUGACCCGAUGUGUACAAAACUGCUAGGUUAGGUCUCUCGGCCUUGGAUUUACGUUGCACAGUUAAUUCCUUACUGUCACAACACUCCUUUCUGCAAUGGCCGAUGAGUCCAAUAGAACCGCUUUUUUAGAGAUUCAGAGUCGCAUGAUCGAAACUACUGCCAAAUCUUUGUUAUCCUGCUAGAGAAUAUGGUGCAAAACCAGAUGUGAAACAAGGAGGGAGAAAAGAAGCAUGCUUACUUAACAUUGGAGGAGUUGCGACAACUGCCUGACGAUACAAAUACUUACGAAUCUAUUGGGAGAACGUGUGUAGUUUAUGAACCAAAUGAAUUCGGUUAAAUCAUGAUUUAUUGGGUGUUUGGAAUUGAAAUAGAUACAUGCUCUCAUGAAUACCCUCCUCUCUGUUUCUUUCUGUGUCUCUAUCUUGCGUGUGGCCAGGUUUGUCUUGGAGCCAAAGUCUGUUUCAAUGAGUGAACAAGAUCAGAAGAUAAAGGAUAGCGAGAUUGCAAUAGCCUCAGGUUAGCUCUCUUGGCCUUGGAUUUACAUUGAACGGUUAAUUCCUUACUAUCACAACACUCCUUUCUGCAAUGGCUGAUGAGUCCAAUAGAACUGCGUUUUUAGAGAUUCAGAGUUGUAUGAUCGAAACUACUGCCAAAUUGAAGCAGGUGCAAAACCAGAUGCGAACCAAGGAGGGAGAAAAGAAGCGUGCUUACUUAACAUUGGAGGAGUUGCGACAACUGCCUGACGAUACAAAUUGAGAGUCGUAUGAUCGAAACUACUGCCAAAUUGAAGCAGGUGCAAAACCAGAUGCCAACCAAGCAGGGAGAAAAGAAGCGUGCUUACUUAACAUUGGAGGAGUUGCGACAACUGCCUGACGAUACAAAUACUUACAAAUCUAUAGGGAGAACGUGAGUAGUUUAUAAACCAAAUGACUUCAGUUAAAUCAUGAUUUAUUGGGUGUUUGGAAUUGAAAUAGAUACAUGCUCUCAUGAAUAUCCUCCUCUCUGUUUCUUUCUGUGUCUCUAUCUUUGUGUGUGGCCAGGUUUGUCUUGGAGUCUAAGUCUGUUUUAAUGAGUGAACAAGAUCAGAAGAUAAAGGAUAGCGAGACUGCAAUAGCCUAAUGCAGGUAUAUCUCAGUGUGUGUGUGUGUGUGUGUGUGUGUGUGUGUGAUGUGGGUCAUUGUUGGCUCUUUUAUAUAAUGAAAAGCUAUUCCAUCUCAUAUUUCUGCGAUCCCGGAGCUAUUUUUUGUUUUUAUAUUUGGAUAACUUGCUUCAAUGCCUUAUCAAAUCAGGUAUACUAAGACAGUGAUUUUCUCAGGUCCUGCAUUAGGCAAAUAAAAUUGUAGGUUUUGACAAUUACAUCAUCCAUGGGCAUCAUUUUUUUUAUUUUUUUUGGUUCAUUUUCUGAUA